GAGCUGCUCAAUAUCUAAGGCUGCAAUAAACAUUCAUUGCUGUCGGUGGGUUUGCACCAGAAUAACUCACUGAUCAAUGAAUGCAGACUGCGGUUCAAACACCCUGU
rnacentral:miRNA from 1 species